rnacentral:rRNA from 1 species
AUCAUUAACGAAUAAAUUGUCCAUCUCUGGACAUUUAAUCCUUCAAACACCUGUGAACGAUUUAUAAAAAAACCUUUGCUUUGGUUGGGGUGCUGCCCUGACCAAAGGUAUAAAUCAAAACCCUUUUAUUUUAAAACCUUGAAAUGUCUGAACUGAAAGAAUAAUAAAUUAUCCAAAACUUUCAACAACGGAUCUCUUGGUUCUCGCAUCGAUGAAGAACGCAGCGAAAUGCGAUAAGUAAUGUGAAUUGCAGAAUUUCGUGAAUCAUCGAAUCUUUGAACGCACAUUGCGCCCCUUGGUAUCCCAGGGGGCAUACCUGUUUGAGCGUCAUUUCUCUCUUAAACUCUCGGGUUUAGUGUUGAAUUGAUUUCUUCGGCUUUAGAAGAUAAUUCGAAAUUGAUUGGCAAGGCAAAUCCAGUCUUAAGCUUUACAGUGUCUUAGGUUUUACCAACUACGCUGGCUUUAUUGAGCUUUUUGGAUUUUAUCAGGCCUGGCCUUUUAAAAAUCGACGUUUUAAAGUUUGACCUCAAAUCAGGCAAGAUUACCCGCUGAACUUAAGCAUAUCAAUAAGCGGAGGA